GUUUCCUUGAAGUUUGAGGGCUAGGAUGCUCCGGCAAGCUUCCAGCCGCACACCUGGUGCUUCUUCAUAGUGGAUGGCCCAGAGCAGAAGAUCUGUCAGCUGGGGACUCACUUGCCCAAUCUGUCCCAAAGCUGUAGAGACUGCUCAUCCCACGUUCCCACAGAAUCAUGGGUGUACCGUGCACAGCAGAGAUACUGGCGCUCUCUUCGGGUCCAUCAGAUAAGAUGACAACAUGCCUUGGCUUACCAUCUUGUCACGGAUCUGCAGGGCACCUGCUGCCGAACAAGCUGCCUGUCGAAUUGAUAUGAACUCAUCAGAGAAGCAGUUCAGGAAGCUUGGGAGAAGCUUGGCUGUCAUGACCUUGAGCACACGGAUCAGGGAGAGGGCCUCAAUCCGAUCCUGGAAAUUUCCUUGACUCAGCUUAAUCCUGUAAGAUACAAGUGGCUUUUAUUUCCCUUAAACUUUUCUGUAUCCUGUUCUCUUCCACCAUGCCCUCAGGAAAGAAUUCGAGCUUUGUGGGCCCAGUUACAUAGACAUACCUUUUCUUAGUCAGUUUAUAAUCAUUAAAGUUUCACUGGGUUCAGA